AUUGCAGGCUGCAACCCGCCUGUAUGAAGUUGGAAUCGCUAGUAAUCGCGGAUCAGCAUGCCGCGGUGAAUACGUUCCCGGGCCUUGUACACACCGCCCGUCACACCAUGAGAGUCGGGAACACCCGAAGUCCGUAGCCUAACCGCGAAGGGGGGCGCGGCCGAAGGUGGGUUCGAUAAUUGGGGUGAAGUCGUAACAAGGUAAC
rnacentral:rRNA from 1 species